UAAGGUUAAGUUAAUAAGGGCGCACGGUGGAUGCCUUGGCACUAGGAGCCGACGAAGGACGUGACAAACGACGAUAUACCUUGGGUAGCUGUAAGUAAGCGAUGAUCCAGGGAUUUCCGAAUGGGGGAACCCAACAGGUAAUACCUGUUACCCACAUCUGUUAAGGAUGUGAGGAGGAAGACGCAGUGAACUGAAACAUCUAAGUAGCUGCAGGAAGAGAAAGCAAAAGCGAUUGCCUUAGUAGCGGCGAGCGAAACGGCAGAAGGGCAAACCGAAGAGUUUACUCUUCGGGGUUGUAGGACUGCAAUGUGGACUCAAAGAUUAUAGAAGAAUGAUUUGGGAAGAUCAGCCAAAGAGAGUAAUAGCCUCGUAUUUAAAAUAGUCUUUGUACCUAGCAGUAUCCUGAGUACGGCGGGACACGUGAAAUCCCGUCGGAAUCUGGGAGGACCAUCUCCCAACCCUAAAUACUCCCUAGUGACCGAUAGUGAACCAGUACCGUGAGGGAAAGGUGAAAAGCACCCCGGGAGGGGAGUGAAAUAG
rnacentral:rRNA from 1 species